GGAAUAUUGCACAAUGGGGGAAACCCUGAUGCAGCGACGCCGCGUGAAGGAAGAAGUAUUUCGGUAUGUAAACUUCUAUCAGCAGGGAAGAAAAUGACGGUACCUGAGUAAGAAGCCCCGGCUAACUACGUGCCAGCAGCCGCGGUAAUACGUAGGGGGCAAGCGUUAUCCGGAUUUACUGGGUGUAAAGGGAGCGUAGACGGUGAUGCAAGUCAGAAGUGAAAGCCCGGGGCUCAACUCCGGGACUGCUUUAGAAACUGUGUAACUGGAGUGCAGGAGAGGUAAGCGGAAUUCCUGGUGUAGCGGUGAAAUGCGUAGAUAUCAGGAGGAACACCAGUGGAGAAGGCGGCUUACUGGACUGUAACUGACGUUGAGGCUCGAAAGCGUGGGGAGCAAAC
rnacentral:rRNA from 1 species